AAGGAAUUUAUUAGGAAUAUUCCAGGAAGC
rnacentral:piRNA from 1 species